AUUCCAGCUCCAAUAGCGUAUAUUAAAGUUGUUGCAGUUAAAAAGCUCGUAGUUGGAUUUCUGACAGGGGGCCGAACACCACUGUAGUGAGUGUUUUGGUACCUGUCAUCCUUCUGUUAACCCUAGCGUCAUUCAUUUGUCGUUGGGCGGACCAGAUACUUUACCUUGAGAAAAUUAGAGUGUUUCAGGCAGGCCUAGCCGGAAUACAUUAGCAUGGAAUAAUGGAAUAGGACUAUAGUCUCGUCGUUGGUUACGUGGACUGCAGUAAUGAUUAAUAGGGAUAGUUGGGGGCAUUAGUAUUUAAUUGUCAGAGGUGAAAUUCUUGGAUUAGUUAAAGACUAACGUAUGCGAAAGCAUUUGCCAAGGAUGUUUUCAUCA
rnacentral:rRNA from 1 species